rnacentral:tRNA from 1 species
GCCCAGAUGGCGGAAUUGGUAGACGCACUAGGUUCAGGUCCUAGCGGGGUCACACUCGUGGAAGUUCGAGUCUUCUUCUGGGCACUA